rnacentral:rRNA from 1 species
ACAUGCCUACAUCAUAGCGUUAAUGCACCAAAUCCAAUUAUAACUCUACAGUUAAGUGCACUCAAGCCAGAGUAGUACUGGGAUGGGUGAUCGCCUGGGAAUUCCUAGUGUUUUACAUGCC